AUUGAACGCUGGCGGCAUGCCUUACACAUGCAAGUCGAACGGCAGCACGGGAGCAAUCCUGGUGGCGAGUGGCGAACGGGUGAGUAAUAUAUCGGAACGUGCCCAGUCGUGGGGGAUAACGUAGCGAAAGCUACGCUAAUACCGCAUACGAUCUAUGGAUGAAAGCGGGGGAUCGCAAGACCUCGCGCGAUUGGAGCGGCCGAUAUCAGAUUAGGUAGUUGGUGAGGUAAAGGCUCACUAAGCCGACGAUCUGUAGCUGGUCUGAGAGGACGACCAGCCACACUGGGACUGAGACACGGCCCAGACUCCUACGGGAGGCAGCAGUGGGGAAUUUUGGACAAUGGGCGCAAGCCUGAUUCAGCAAUGCCGCGUGCAGGAUGAAGGCCUUCGGGUUGUAAACUGCUUUUGUACGGAACGAAACGGUGAGCUCUAAUACAGUUUGCUAAUGACGGUACCGUAAGAAUAAGCACCGGCUAACUACGUGCCAGCCGCCGCGGUAA
rnacentral:rRNA from 1 species